rnacentral:lncRNA from 1 species
GUGCAGCCUGAAUCUGUAGGGAUGCAAAUUCCCACCUGUAACUUGUUUGCAUCCAAGGGGGAGUGAGUUGGUCUCCUUGUUCCUAUGGCAGCUAUGGGCCCCUAUGCUUGGGUGGUCCUCCAGAAGCACUGAUACAGAGCCUGAAGGGAAGCUCCAAUCUGUGAUCCACAAGUGCCUCCAGCCUGGCAGGACCUGGUUCUUCUGCACAGUAAAAUAAUAAAAAGACACAAGACUCGUUCUGCCUCUGCCCAGAAGCAGCAGCAGCCCCACAGCCUCACUCUGGAUGCCAUCAUCUACCAGCAGCAUCUUGGCUGGAGCACACAGUGCAAUCA